GACGAACGCUGGCGGCGUGGAUUAGGCAUGCAAGUCGAACGGUAGGAUUCCUUCGGGGAUCUGAGAGUGGCGAACGGGUGAGUAACACGUAGGUAAUCUACCCUCAAAUCGGGGACAACCCAGGGAAACUUGGGCUAAUACCGGAUGGGUGCGCUUUCGGGUGCAUAAAAGGUGGCGUAAGCUGCCGUUUGGGGAUGAGCCUGCGCUCUAUUAGUUAGUUGGUGAGGUAACGGCUUACCAAGGCGAUGAUAGAUAGGCGGCCUUAACGGGUGGUCGCCCACACUGGGAUUGAGAUACGGCCCAGACUCCUACGGGUGGCUG
rnacentral:rRNA from 1 species